CAUGCAAGUCGAACGAGAAAGCAGGGGCAACCCUGUGAGUACAGUGGCGUACGGGUGAGUAACACGUGGGUAAUCUACCCUUUAGUGUGGAAUAACGCUGGGAAACCGGCGCUAAUACCGCAUAAUCCCGAGAGGGGAAAGUCGCAAGACUCUCUAAGGAGGAGCCCGCGGCCGAUUAGCCAGUUGGUAGGGUAAAGGCCUACCAAAGCUAAGAUCGGUAGCCGGCCUGAGAGGGCACACGGCCACACUGGCACUGAAACACGGGCCAGACUCCUACGGGAGGC
rnacentral:rRNA from 1 species